rnacentral:rRNA from 1 species
CCUACGGGGUGCAGCAGUGGGGAAUAUUGCACAAUGGGGGAAACCCUGAUGCAGCGACGCCGCGUGAGUGAAGAAGUAACUCGUUAUGUAAAGCUCCAUUAGCAGGGAAGAAAAUGACGGUACCUGAGUAAGAAGCCCCGGCUAACUACGUGCCAGCAGCCGCGGUAAUACGUAGGGGGCAAGCGUUAUCCGGAUUUACUGGGGGUAAAGGGAGCGUAGACGGCAGUGCAAGUCUGGAGUGAAAGGCGGGGGCUCAACCCCCGGACUGCUCUGGAAACUGUACGGCUGGAGUGCAGGAGAGGUAAGUGGAAUGCGUGGUGUAGCGGUGAAAUGCAUAGAUAUUAGGAGGAACACCAGUGGCGAAGGCAGCUUACUGGACUGUAACUGACGUUGAGGCUCGAAAGCGUGGGGAGCGAACAGGAUUAGAUACCCUGGUAGUC